rnacentral:rRNA from 1 species
AUUGAACGCUAGCGGCAGGCCUAACACAUGCAAGUCGAACGAGUGGCGGACGGGUGAGUAAUGUCUAGGAGACUGCCCGAUGGAGGGGGGUAACUCCUGGAAACGGUAGCUAAUACCCCAUACCCUCUGAUGUGCCCCGAUGGGAUUAGCGUGUGGGUGAGGUAACGGCUCACCUAGGCGACGAUCCCUAGCGGGUCUGAGAGGAUGACCAGCCACACUGGAACUGAGACACGGCCCAGACUCCUACGGGAGGCAGCAGUGGGGAAUAUUGCACAAUGGGCGCAAGCCUGAUGCAGCCAUGCCGCGUGUAUGAAGAAGGCCUUCGGGUUGUAAAGUACUUUCAGUGGGGAGGCGUUACCCGCAGAAGAAGCACCGGCUAACUCCGUGCCAGCAGCCGCGGUAAUUC